GAUGAACGCUGGCGGCGUGCCUAAUACAUGCAAGUCGAGCGAAUGGAUUAAGAGCUUGCUCUUAUGAAGUUAGCGGCGGACGGGUGAGUAACACGUGGGUAACCUGCCCAUAAGACUGGGAUAACUCCGGGGAACCGGGGCUAAUACCGGAUAACAUUCUGAACCGCAUGGUUCGAAAUUGAAAGGCGGCUUCGGCUGUCACUUAUGGAUGGACCCGCGUCGCAUUAGCUAGUUGGUGGGGUAACGGCUCACCAAGGCAACGAUGCGUAGCCGACCUGAGAGGGUGAUCGGCCACACUGGGACUGAGACACGGCCCAGACUCCUACGGGAGGCAGCAGUAGGGAAUCUUCCGCAAUGGACGAAAGUCUGACGGAGCAACGCCGCGUGAGUGAUGAAGGCUUUCGGGUCGUAAAACUCUGUUGUUAGGGAAGAACAAGUGCUAGUUGAAUAAGCUGGCACCUUGACGGUACCUAACCAGAAAGCCACGGCUAACUACGUGCCAGCAGCCGCGGUAA
rnacentral:rRNA from 1 species